GAUGAAGAACGCAGCGAAAUGCGAUACGUAAUGUGAAUUGCAGAAUUCAGUGAAUCAUCGAGUCUUUGAACGCACAUUGCGCCCCCUGGUAUUCCGGGGGGCAUGCCUGUCCGAGCGUCAUUGCUGCCCUCAAGCACGGCUUGUGUGUUGGGCCUCCGUCCUCCUCCCGGGGGACGGGCCCGAAAGGCAGCGGCGGCACCGCGUCCGGUCCUCGAGCGUAUGGGGCUUCGUCACCCGCUCUUGUAGNNNCGGCCGGCGCUUGCCGACACAUCAAUCUUUUUUCCAGGUUGACCUCGGAUCAGGUAGGGAUACCCGCUGAACUUAAGCAUAUCAUAAGCGGAGGA
rnacentral:misc_RNA from 1 species